GCAGAGUAAGUGAUUGUGAGUUAUGUGCUGAUAAGACGGGGAGUUGCUUAACAGACGGAGUGUCUAACUGAUACACUAUACAAUGACUGCAUCCCGCUGC
rnacentral:ncRNA from 1 species